rnacentral:rRNA from 1 species
GAUGAACGCUGGCGGCGUGCCUAAUACAUGCAAGUCGAGCGAACAGACCAUGCGCUUGCUCCUCGGACGUUAGCGGCGGAGGUGAGAGUAACACGUGUAUAACCUACCUAUAAGUCUGGGAUAACUUCGAGAAACCGGAGCUAAUAGCGGAGAAGAUACUGAAGCGCGUGGGGCAAUAGUAAAAGACGGUUUUUCGGUCACGAAUAGAGGGAUCCGCGCCGCAUUAGCUGGUUGGUAAGUUAAUGGCUUACCAAGGCGAGGAUGCGUAGACGACCUGAGUGGGUGAUCGGCCACCUUGGAGCUGAGACACCGUCCUGGCUCCUACGGUACGCAGCAGUCGGGUACCUUACGCAGUGGGCGAAAACUUGACGCAGCAGCCCCGCGCGUGUGAUGACGGUCCUCCGUUCGUAAAGCUCUCUUAUGAGGGAUGAACAGCUGUCUCCGUAACUAUACCCGUAUUGACGGUAACUAAUCAAAAAGCACCGGCUAACUACGUG